CCUUUGUCAAAAGGGCCUCUGAUCUCUGCCAAAAAACCCCCCUCCAGUGAACUCCCUCCUAACCAGGCCACCUAGCUUCCUGCUGUCAGAAAGUUCUCAUUGCUAGUAAGAUUUUCUUGACAAUGUGUAAAGUGCUGCACCUCCCUUGUGAAUAACGCCUGGGAAGUGGUGUUAGUGUCAUGGUUUCCCAGUGCCUUUGACCUUGUGGAUUCCUGGUUUCAGUGGCCUCUUUCUUCCCACUGGGUUGUGGGAAGAAAGGCAGACAGCCUUGAGGCAGACAGCCUCGGUGCAUUGUUGAAUGUAAGAAUGAAUAAAUUGGUGCACAAAGACCGCAUGAACCCUCAGGAUUUCUGAGUUCCUAUCUCUUUAGCCUGGUGCUCGGCACUCAUCCAGGGUAAUUGGUCAGGCUUGGUGUACUCAGGAAAAGGAGACACCGUUAUCUCUCCAAUAAAGUCUGUAUCUGAUGACA
rnacentral:lncRNA from 10 species